rnacentral:rRNA from 1 species
UGGGGAAUAUUGCACAAUGGGCGAAAGCCUGAUGCAGCGACGCCGCGUGGAGGAAGAAGGUCUUCGGAUUGUAAACUCCUGUUGAGUGAGAAGAAAGACGGCUGGUUAAUACCCAGCUGGGAUGACGGUAUCACUCGAGGAAGCACCGGCAAACUUCGUGCCAGCAGCCGCGGUAAUACGAAGGGUGCGAGCGUUAUUCGGAGUUAUUGGGCGUAAAGGGCGCGUAGGCGGUCUGCUAAGUCAGCUGUUAAAACUCUCGGCUUAACCGAGAAAAAGCAGGUGAAACUGGUGGGCUAGAGGACAGAAGAGAGAAGUGGAAUUCUCGGAGUAGCGGUAAAAUGCGUAGAUCUCGAGAGGAACACCGAUGGCGAAGGCAGCUUCUUGGUCUGUAUCUGACGCU